GCCAGUUUGGUCUAGAGGUUAAGACACCAGGCUAGAAAGCAGGAGAUUGUGAGUUCAAAUCCUGCCUUAGGCA
rfam:Ophiophagus hannah scaffold2269.1, whole genome shotgun sequence.